rnacentral:rRNA from 1 species
GUGCAGCAGGCGCGAAAACUUCACACUGCGCGAAAGCGCGAUGAGGGAAUCCCAAGUGCUUGCACGUAAGUGUAAGCUGUUUCUCUGUCUAAAAAGCAGAGAGAGUAAGGGCUGGGUAAGACGGGUGCCAGCCGCCGCGGUAAUACCUGCAGCUCAAGUGGUGGCCGCUAUUAUUGGGCCUAAAACGUCCGUAGCCGGUCUAGUAAGUGCCUGGGUAAAUCGUGAGGCUUAACCUUACGAACUCCGGGUAGACUGCUAGACUUGAGACCGGGAGAGGCUAGAGGUACUCCUGGGGGUAGAGGUGAAAUUCUGUAAUCCUAGGGGGACCGACCAGUGGCGAAGGCGGUCUAGCUAGAACGGGUCUGACGGUGAGGGACGAAGCCCUGGGGCGCAAACCGGAUUAGAUACCCGGGUAGU